rnacentral:rRNA from 1 species
AAUGUAUANCAAUAGCUACUUGNAUCAUUGUAAAUAUNAUNCNNNAUCGANUAUGUNGAAUNNAAUUNUAGGUAGAAUUAUGAUANUGNCAUUGUCUGCCUAUGUGUCUUGACCAAAUUACGUGCCAGCAGUCGCGGUAAUACGUAGAAGACUAGUGUUAUUCAUGUUUAAUCGGUUUAAAGGGUACCUAGACGGUAAAUCAAGCCUAAAAGGAAAUAAAUGAAGGGACUAAUUUACUAGAGUUACUUAUGAGGGGGUAUUAAAGUACUGCUGGUGUAGAGAUGAAAUUCUGUCAUACCUCUUUUCAAUAGAAAAAUAAUGGCACAGGUAUAGGCGAAAGCAUCCCCUUAUGUGAUAACUGACGUUGAGGGACGAAGGCUUUGUGUAGCAAACAGGAUUAGAUACCCCAGUAGUCAAAGCAGAAAAUGAUGAAUGUCAUAGAUUAGAUAUAUAAGUUUAUUCUAUAAAUGAAAGUGUAAGCAUUCCACCUCAAGAGUAAUUUGGCAACAUUGGAACUGAAAUCAUUAGACCGUUUCUGAAACCAGUAGUGAAGUAUGUUGUUUAAUUUGAUGAUCCGCAAAAAACCUUACCACAAUUUGAAUAUUUAUAUCUUUUAUUGUUUUUCUUUUUAACUUUUUCUAAUUUUCUACUUAAAAGAAAAAAAUAACAAGAAAAAAGAGACAAUAAGAUAUAUUUACAAGCGUUGCACGGCUGUCUUCAGUUAAUGUCGCGAGACUAUGGUUAGUUCCAUUAAAUUAACGUAAACCCUUACUUUNUUUUUAUAUAGAGUAGUUCCCCGCUAUNUUGGAUAUGAUAACAGG